UUUCAUUUAUCAAAUAAGUUACAAAGUUCCAGGUAUAUAUAAUCUAACUUUAUGACGCAACUUGUCGUCCAAUUCACUCUCCUCAGCUCCAUCUGGUUGGUGCUAAACACGCGAAGGAGUAGAUCGUGAGUGGAAUACUCCCCUACCCCACUAUGAAUUACUUCCUGAUUACGGCUCUUUGGAUGCACCCACCCACACGCAUCUCUCCGUUCGUUUGACCGGAGGCCACUCUCCACCGUUCACGUGUACGUUAAACAUAGAGGUCGAAAACAAAAUCCAGUGAUUAAACGAACAGAGAAAGACCGACGAAGAUCUGAAAUCGAACGAACGAAGAUUUGGGGUGUUUUGUCGUUGGAUUGGUGUUUAAAACUUGGGGGCAGUCUCGACCGAUUGGAGAGGGUGACAGCAACCACCACUGUGGUGAAGCACCGGCUCAGGCUAAUUGGAGUUAGGGGAUUCAACUAGCCAACAGCCUGCUCACUGCAGUGUCUGAUGACUCUUCAAGUCUUGAUAAGCAGCAGGUUGUGGCAGAUGACAGAGCAGUGAAGCCUGGUUCUGAGAAGCAAGGGAAGGUCAGGAGAUCCAGAAUUUGGGUGGGGCAAAUAAUUGGGUUUAAUAAUCCCAGUGUUCCUUUUACUUACUCUGUUGAUUUUGGAUGCAAGGGGGAUUCAAUCAGAGGUAGCUUGGUGGCCAUUUCUGAGGAGUCUUUCAAGCAACCAAGACCUUCGAAUCUGUUGAAUAUUUUUUAGGGUAAACUAAAAUUAAUUUAGCAUGAGAUUGAAAAAUGUUUUUAAAAAUUAGGGCGAAAUUACUUUUUGAAAAGUUGUGAUAAUACAACUUUUGGUCUCUGAUUUAUCCAUAGUAAAAAUAAUAAUAAUAAUAAUGUAACUUGACAAGUAUAUCCAUAUUGAUCUUUGAAUUUGACAACUAGUUUAUUUUA